GGCGCCCCGCGCUGCGGGCUUUGCCUCCCCCGGGGCUCCCCGGCACCGUAACGGCGACGGUUGCCGCCUGCUCCCGCUGUGCCCCGCGAGCCGGGCCCGGUGGCGGGGCCCCGUGCCCGUUUCGCUCCGUGUCCUGCCCCGCUCGGUCGUCCGCAAACCCUUCCGGACCUGCCGACUGCAGCAGCCGGCUUCUCUUCGCUCUUUUCCCUGAUUUAUUAUUAUUGUUUUUUCCCCCCGCCUUAAUCUUGUCCUGAAAACGUUACAGUGUCCUGUUUGCUGCUCUGACUUCGAUGCUCUUGUGUGGCUUCUCUCCCACCGCAGGAAUCUCACAGAUCUUUAUAUGUGGUGAGCUGCUGGAUGCAGAUAGAAAAAACUAAAAGAUCUGGAGUAAAUAUUAAACAAUGGCUUUAACAGAAUGCUUUAAGUGCUGCACUCAGGGCUGCUGACGGAUUCCUUUCUAGUGAAGGGUGGUGUGAAUCUUAGAGCCAGUCCUGUAUGCUCAUAAAAUGCUGCUUUUCUGUGCAAAAACUCUGGUACCUACAAGGUUUUAGACUUGCUGGUGCCUAGGAAUCAAAGGCAUUUACCAAGGCUUGGGGGGUUGGGAGCUGGAUGGGUUUUUUUAGGCUUAGAGUAACACUUUCUUAGUCAUUUCCUCUGACAGAUCACAAGGGUUUUUUUCAAUUUUCUGGUCGAUUUUUGCCUGCAGCAAGGAUUCAGUUGGUUUGAGACAGGGGUUCUCAGAGGUGAGGAAGAUUAGAUGCAGCUCUUGGGGGGGGGGGUGUAUAUAUAUAUUUCUGUGCUACUUGGUAGACACCGCCAGAUAUCUUGAAGAUAGCAUGAGGACAAUUUUAAAGACCCUGUUCUCCUUCUAUAGUAUUAUGUGUCUUAAUUUCUGAAUGAGUAAUCAUUUGUUCAAUUAUAUGCCUGCCUGCUGUCUUUCUUUGUCCAGCUGCAGAUAAGCAAUGCUGACUCUACCAAUAGAGUUCACAGUUGCAGUUGGUAAGACUGUUACUUGUAUGAAUCCUGAAACUGCUGAAUGAUAACUCCCAGUUCUGGCAUGUAUUUAAAAAAUCCUUUUUAACCAAAUAGCUAGAACUGGUACUUACUAGCGCACUGCUGGUUAGCUAUCGAUUUUGCUGCCAGCCUUGUUUUGAGUGGGCAAUACUAUUUGUAAAAUGCUGUGCUUGUCUUCUUAAAUUGCACACUUUCCCAACUCUGUUUUCUAGUAUCGUAGGUUUACUGGAUCCUACCUCAGAAAUUAAAGAGACUUGCUUGUGCAUCAUGCUCUGUGUCAGACAGUGAAAAGAACCCAAUGUUAGCAUCUAAUUUAGAGGCACAGUACCACAAGGUUUAUGCUAGUUAAAUGCAAAGCUGUUCUAGUUAAAUCCUCUGAAAUAGGCUUAACUGGGUUCUUGUAAGACUUUUUCAUAAAACCUAAACUUGCAUCCUGAAACACAUGCAAUGUUCUUUUAACAUCUAAUGUUCAGUGGUAGUUGGUUGGAUUAUACACUUUAUUUUUUUCUAUAUGAAAGAUAGGGGUUUUUAUCCUUUUUUACUAACUUUAAAAAAGUACAGAUUGGUAAUUAUUUGAAGCUAUCUCAUUAUAGGUAAGUAUAACAAUGCAAAGAAUGUUCUGAAGAGAUUUGAAGUAAUUCAAAUUAUCUUUCACUUUAGAAAUGACCUACACCUGCUUCAAAUUUACUAUCAAUCCAGUCUGGUUAAAAAACAGAGAGGAAAAGCUACUUGUAAAGAAAAGGUUCAAACAAAUGAAAAUCGACUGUGCAAAGUGCAAAGCUAGAAAGUUAUCUCAGUUUCUCAUCCUCCAGUAGUUAAAAUUGCUGCUAUUUAGGUUCAGAUAAGAGGGUUUUACUUAAAUAACCCCUUUAGGCUGGUCUUAAGUGCUAAUUACAGUUCCAUGUGUAAGACUCUUUUUUAUGGGGUGGUCAACAAAGUUCUUUAUUUUCUGCAGUUUCAUAUUGUUCCUCUUUCUUCUACCCCUCUUGAAGUUUAUUUGACAUCGGUGGAGGAGUAAGAGCAUUGAUCCAAGUGUACUCUUUUGCUGAAAGAGAACAGGCAAAGAUUCUUGGUAGUAUGAAGGUGAGAACCUGUGUCUUCCUUUUCCGGUGAAACUACCCAAAGUCUUGUGGGAACCUGGAAGAAUCAUCAGAUUGGCUGUCUCAAAUCUUUGCUGAGAAAAGUUCUGCUUGACUAGCCUGCUAUUCUGUCGUAUGCCUCCUGUAGUGCGGUUGGAAGAGUAAUGUGGCUGUGCACCUUUUGGCCCAGCUCCCGUUUCGGUGAGAAUUGAGGAGGAGGAGGAAGGACAGGGAGAGUGACGGCUGAAUGACUUGGAGGAACAAAAAGCAAGCGUAAAUAUAGGGAGAUCCUGAGUGCUAACGUUGACUGCCACUGGGUUGCUUUGUGGCCUUGAGUGAAGCACUUAUUUCAGUUUCUUCUUAUCUCGGUCCUUUCUAUCAAAAAGGCAGGGAAUUGAAGUUGCUUUAAUCUAAAUUAUUUUUAGAAGGUGAGAGAGGUGAGUUUCCACUUGGUGCUCAUCUUAAUAUUAAGAAUAUGUAAGGAAGUGUGCACGUCAAAGCUUAAGUUGUUAGUAGGAUGUUGAGUUUGGUGUGUAGGAUAUUGCAAUGCAUGUUGUUGCCGAAAGAUAGCUGUGGCUGAAAGUUAUCUGGAAAGUGUGUGAUAUAUUAAUUUUAUCACUUCAUGGGUGAGAGGUGUGAAGAUCUCGGGCACUGUGAGUCAGUUGUUCCCAAAGGCACCAAAAAGCCAAAAUCUUUUUCUUUUUUAAAAAAGGAGGUUGCAUGCUUACAAGCUUUUUCCUUACUAAAACUAUUAUCAGUUUGACCAUGAACUUUUCAGAGGGGUGGAUCUUGUGAGGUUUAUUCAGAUACUUAGUUUUGCCUGAUGGUCAGAAAUACAGCAGAUUUUGCAGUUGUUUAAAGCAGUUACUAAUCUCACUAGAGCUCAGUAUUGGUAAGCAAACAUUAUUUGUAGAAUUUGUACUGGUCUUUAGGAAGAUCAGGGAGCUGCACAGUGUUUUUUCCGGGAACAGUUCUUGUCCUAGGUUUCAUCUUAAUGCUUCAAGGGAACUGAAAACAAUACUUCUGUAUUCUGGUAUUUUACGUGCAGUGUUGGAUGGGGAACUCCAUGAAUGCACCGAGAGAAAGGUGCGAUGGGAGCCUCGACCAGUUAGGCUUUCGUGUGGCCACGAGGCGGCUGCUGCUUGCUUCGCAGGCCCAUGGCACAGAACAGACUGCACAUGUAAUUGUCCUAAUCCUUUGGUUCAUUAAAGUAGUGUCUGCGUUAGGAAGCAGUGCCAACUAACAGGAGUUUAAAAGGUUGAGGGGCAGGUUGUGUGUGUGGUUUUUUGAUUUUUGAGGACCCCACAUACUGUUUGGAGGGGAUUGUUGCUGUGAAUUCGCUCUAGUCUGGACAGAGCAUUCAUUAGUGCCUGAAGUGAUUCUGGUGCAGAUAAUCUACGCAGUUUUGUCCAGGAGAUAUCCAUUUCCUAUGCUGCAAGACUGCUGCACUAUGUGAAUCAAAGCCCGGUAAGUGAGGAAGAGCAGGGAUUUGCUUCAGAAGUGUGUUUCUGUCUGAACUGAAAUACAAAUGUAGCUGCGCUUUAACUGUGCCUCCAGUAAAUUAUAAUGGGAUUAGGUACUUGUGACUGUUAGUGUUUUGCUGGCAAUUAUGAUCUGUGAGGUGUUUGUUUCUUAUCUGCAUUGUAUAUUGCAGACACAGAAGAUCAUACUGUUCUCUCUGUGUGAGGAAGAAUCACUCCUUAGUAUACCGCUGAGCUUAAGAUAUAGGACUUAAAACUAGACUGAAAAAAUUAUCCAAAUUCAAAGCAGUUACAGCAACUGAACUACUCAGUUUCUUGUCUGUUUCUAUAUUCUGGUUCAUUUCCUCUGGCAUGAAGAACUUAAAUGUAUUACUGGAACCAGCCUACAAGCCUGUAUGAUGUCCAGAUAAUGGGUAUUUUGCUGGCAAGCCCUGGUAAAAAUACUGUUUCAUCUAGUCUAGCGUCUUGCUUCAGCGGUGACUUUUACCUUAUGUUUCAGUAAGAAGUUGGCCCACUUGUGCACAAAACCAACAGUUCUGUGUGCUCAGGGAAUGAGGGCUAUUGAAUUGUUCAUGCCUCAAAGCAUGAAUUAUUACAGUAAGCAUGAAUAACUGCAAAGGUAACGGUAGCCAUACAGUUACGGUAUGUGACUUGUUCUGAAAAAUGUAGGUUGGCUGUAGCAUUCUGCCUCUGGGUGCCCUGGUUAAUUUAUGUGAUCCUUUAUGGGCUCUGGUGAAUGGGGGAUACUUUUUCUUUGGACUUUGAAUAGUUCCUCAAGUUCUCUCUACCACUGGAGGGAGAGCAAGAGCAGAGUUGAGUUGGUACAAUGCCACUGUCUUGGCUCCCCUCCCUUUCCCCAAAUGCAUGCAAUAUUCAGUAUUUUCAGGAAGCAACUGGAUUACAGCUAUCUGUGAUUCUCUGACCAGCCUCUUGACGUGCAGUGAAGCCUCACUUCUUUCUUUCUUCUCCCUAACGGAAAAAACAAAAGGAUUUCUUGAUGAAGAGAGACUAAGAGGUUGGUAAUUUUUCCAUCUAUGCACUCUGGGAAGCAGAAAGCUCCUAGUGUUUUUAUACUUUUUCAGUUUGUUAUUGUAUAUCUUGCUUACGUGACUUUUCUGCUUUCUUUGGAAAGCCUUGGAUUUAUGACAGCGCUCUCGAGUUCCUCCUCAGCUUCCUUCUUAAACCUUGCCCUGGAUCAAGAUCUCGAAUUAUGUUUUCCUCGCUUGUCUUCCAGAGUUAAUACCAGGGCUACAAAUUUCAUAAGUAUUUUAAACAUACGUUUAAAGUAGAGUCAGAACUUGAAGCCUCGCCCACAGGAUUUUUCAUUCAAAUACAGACAUGAUCAUCAGACUUCAGAAUGACAGGAGGAAAUACCAGAAGUCGCUUAUACAUAAUGCCCUUAAAUAGGAGAACCGAAAACCUAUUGUCAAGCAUAUUAUGUAAGUUGUUGGGGUGGAGAAAGCGAGUUCUGAGUUUUGACAGUGAAGUUUCAUGCCGAGACUUGGCUGUUUUAAUGUCUUCACUACUAAUUUAGAGAGAGCAGCAAAGGGCCUAGCGCUGGUGUCGCUCCACCGCAAGCAGUGUAAAGGACGUGAGUGCAGACAGUGCAGUGAAAACCAGUCGGCAUGAUUGUCGUCGUCGUCUCCCUUCUUGUCCUCCCAUUGCUAGUGGAUCUGCAAGAACGUGUGCUGCGGUCGAGGCUUCUUAAUGUUGUUUUUACCUUAUUUUUACUGUGUGGACCAGAGAAGGGAUUUUAUGGGAGCCCGGCAAGGGAAUGCAAAAAUGUUUUCUCUAAACUCUUUGGAUGCUUUGUGAGGAAGGAGUGAUUGACUGAAAUCGUAGUUGCUGCAAGUAAUCAUUACUGUCUCUGCUGUGAAAAGGAGGCGAGCAGAGGUGUUGUGUGAUGUAUUCAGUGAGUGUGGAGCAAAAUACUGGCUGUCGUGGAAAACUUUGCAUGUUAGCACCUCUUCUAAUAGGAAGAGGUUUGGCAACUCUUAUUAAACUGUAUUAGAAGGAUGUUCAAACUUAA